rnacentral:rRNA from 1 species
GACCCAGACUCCUACGGGAGGCAGCAGUGGGGAAUAUUGCACAAUGGGGGAAACCCUGAUGCAGCGACGCCGCGUGAGUGAAGAAGUACUUCGGUAUGUAAACCUCUGUCAGCAGGGAAGAAAAUGACGGUACCUGACUAAGAAGCCCCGGCUAACUACGUGCCAGCAGCCGCGGUAAUACGUAGGGGGCAAGCGUUAUCCGGAUUUACUGGGUGUAAAGGGAGCGUAGACGGCAUGGCAAGUCAGAUGUGAAAGCCCGGGGCUCAACCCCGGGACUGCCCUUGGAACUGCAUGGCUGGAGUGCGGGAGGGGCAGGCGGAAUUCCUGGUGUAGCGGUGAAAUGCGUAGAUAUCAGGAGGAACACCGGCGGCGAAGGCGGCCUGCUGGACCGCGACUGACGUUGAGGCUCGAAAGCGUGGGGAGCGAACAGGAUUAGAUACCCCAGUA